rnacentral:rRNA from 1 species
CAAAUAAUCAAAUCGCCCCAGAAAAAAGCCCCCUUCUUCCCCAACCCUAACGCACCCGCUGCCCGCUCCUCCCCACCAAAUCCCCCCUUUCCCACCUCCCGGCGGCAACCUCCCGCAAACCCGGCGUCAGGCCUAGGACCGCUAAUUCGCCGUGCCUCUGCCCUCAUCUCAAGCACGGCCUGCUUCCGCGAUCUGUGGCGGCCCCGCCUAGUUUCCUUUCCACCUCUCUGGUCUAGGAGAUGCCUAUAAAGAGUCAAGGAUGUGCACACACGGAGGAAGGAGGAGGAGUAAGCACAAGUAAGAAGACUUCUUUACAAUCCAACUCUGACCGAGAAGAUUCUCCGCCCCUGAGUGAUGACCUCCCUCGCAUAUUACGCAAGCGCCUACUUCCCCGCGGUUAUCCUUUGCCAUCCAAGUUUGCUGGGGGCAUACGCUUGGUGAAUACAUUUGAGCUCUGCUUUGGAAAGUUGGAUGGCUACAACGAAGAGCACACUAGCAUUAAAUUACUUGCUUUGAGUGUCUGUCGGUCCAUUGUUUCACUCGCUUCUUUCAAGGGUAAAAAUAGGUAUUCCAAUGGUUGUUGGUUAAUCAGUAACUAAAGCUUCGAUCUGUGUAGGAAGAAUUAGACAGUUUACUUGCACAGGCACAAUCAUAGAGCACACGCCACCCAGCAUGAGAACUCUAACAUCCGCUAGCUUGAUUAGAUCGUCUGAAGAAGAUGGAAGUAAGAUACUUGAUAAACUGAAGAUCAAGGUGCGCCUGCCCAGUGGCAAGCUUGUUAUAGGAACGUUGUGGAAAUAUGAUUCAUAUUAUAAUAUCGCUGUUGUUAACAUCAAGGCUUCUCCAGAACUUCGUGAAGCAUGCAUUCAUAAUCAAGUGCCAGCUAAUGUUAAAUUGUCCCAAAGUAAACUGGUGGCUAUUGGACGAGCCUUUGAAUCCGGAGAGCUUAUGGCCACAGGCGGGACACUGCUGCACGGAACUACCAAAUUUGACUGCCAGCAACUCAUGGCAUCUACUUGUAAGAUCACAAAGGCUGGGAUUGGUGGCCUCAUUGUUGGUUCUGAUGGAAAGUUCAUGGGCAUGAGCUUUUAUUAUAAGGAUGGAGCUCCUUUCUUACCAUUCAGUAUCCUCCAGAAAUGCUUAAAGCACUUCAAUAAAUUUGGGAGAGUUGUGCAGUUAUCGCUUGGUCUAAGGAUUGGAUCACUUCAAGCUGAAAAAUUGCAUGUCCGUGAACAAGUACAUGACAGCUUCCCCAAUGCACAUGGCAUUUACGUACAGAUGGUUUCUGAUAAAUCGCCUGCAGCAGAUUCUGGAAUCAAAGUUGGCGAUGUUAUUACCAAGAUUGAUAAGCUUGAGCUGUUCAAUGCACAAGAGUUCCAUGAGCUGAUUUUGGACAAGCCAAAGCGUAUUUUGCGACAUGGUGAAGGAAUGCCUUUUACGGUAUGUGUCCUAAGGCCAAAUAGUAAUGGUCGUGAGUUCCCUGCAACUAUCAAUGCUGUGAUAGACAGCAACGAGCAAAACAGUUGGCUGGUACCCAAGACAAAGUGGCUAUAUCCAGAUGACAUACGUGAUGCUGAUAAGAUGCCCCUCGUUCGGAAGCGUUUCAAACCUGACUACACAUUUCCCCCCCUUGAUGGAAUGGAUCUACAUACAGAAGAUUCCGAUGAAGAAUGAAGUGGAGCAAAGGUUUGGUAAAGAAAAGCUUGUGUUAGCAUGAACCGGGCAUGAACAUUUCCGUUUUUUUGAUCUAUAUUUGGACCGAGCAGCAUGUGGUACCGCUAAGCUACGUUGGCCCAGAAGUUUGGUUUGGUUCACUUUAGCUGUUUAUGCGAUUCGGAAAAUCGCUAGCAUGGGCUUGAUUAAUCAUUUAUGUAGAGCCUCGUUUUUUUAGCAGUGUAGAGCCUGAUGAGAUGUAUCCUUAAUCUUGUUAAGAGGCGGUAGAUGAGUUAGUUAGGGCGAAGUUUGUUAGAGCGGAGAUUUGUUUCUCAGAUGCUUCUUGUAUCUCCACUGUUUGCUCUGCGCAGCCCAUUUGUAUCCACUGGCAUUUCGCGUACUUAUCGUGAUUUAGUUUGCUAAUCUGGCCCACACAUUUACAUUUUUUAGACUAAAC